rnacentral:rRNA from 1 species
UGGGGAAUAUUGCACAAUGGGCGCAAGCCUGAUGCAGCCAUGCCGCGUGUAUGAAGAAGGCCUUCGGGUUGUAAAGUACUUUCAGUCGGGAGGAAGGUGGUAAGGUUAAUAACCUUAUCAAUUGACGUUACCGACAGAAGAAGCACCGGCUAACUCCGUGCCAGCAGCCGCGGUAACACGGAGGGUGCAAGCGUUAAUCGGAAUUACUGGGCGUAAAGCGCACGCAGGCGGUUGAUUGAGUCAGAUGUGAAAUCCCCGGGCUUAACCCGGGAAUUGCAUCUGAUACUGGUCAGCUAGAGUCUUGUAGAGGGGGGUAGAAUUCCAUGUGGAGCGGUGAAAUGCGUAGAGAUGUGGAGGAAUACCGGUGGCGAAGGCGGCCCCCUGGACAAAGACUGACGCUCAGGUGCGAAAGCGUGGGGAGCAAACAGG